rnacentral:rRNA from 1 species
CGUGGGUAACCUGCCCCGAUGACUGGGACAACCCGAGGAAACUCGGGCUAAUACCGGAUGUGGUGUACACACAUCAGUGUGUCCACUAAAGGAAGCUUCGGCCUCCGCAUCGGGAUGGGCCCGCGGCCCAUUAGCUAGUUGGUGAGGUAAUGGCCCACCAAGGCGACGAUGGGUAGCUGGUCUGAGAGGACGAUCAGCCACACUGGGACUGAGACACGGCCCAG